UACGUAGGCAGCGAGCGUUGUUCGGAAUUACUGGGCGUAAAGAGUGUGUAGGCGGUGUUCCCAGUCUGUUGUGAAAUCUCCCGGCUUAACUGGGAGGGUGCAGCGGAAACUAGAAUGCUAGAGGGUGGGAGAGGUAAGCGGAAUUCCUGGUGUAGCGGUGAAAUGCGUAGAUAUCAGGAGGAACACCGAUGGCGAAGGCAGGUCUCUGGGCCACUACUGACGCUGAGAAGCGAAAGCAUGGGGAGCGAACAGG
rnacentral:rRNA from 1 species